rnacentral:rRNA from 1 species
AUUGAACGCUGGCGGCAUGCUUUACACAUGCAAGUCGAACGGUAACAGGGAGCUUGCUCCGCUGACGAGUGGCGAACGGGUGAGUAAUGCGUCGGAACGUGCCGAGUAGUGGGGGAUAACGCAUCGAAAGGUGUGCUAGUACCGCAUACGUACUGAGGUAGAAAGUGGGGGACCUUCGGGCCUCACGCUAUUCGAGCGGCCGACGUCUGAUUAGCUAGUUGGUGAGGUAAAGGCUCACCAAGGCGAAGAUCAGUAGCGGGUCUGAGAGGGUGAUCCGCCACACUGGGACUGGGACACGGCCCAGACCCCUACGGGAGGCAGCAGUGGGGAAUUUUGGACAAUGGGCGCAAGCCUGAUCCAGCCAUGCCGCGUGUCUGAAGAAGGCCUUCGGGUUGUAAAGGACUUUUGUCCGGGAGCAAAUACCCAGUGCUAAUAACGCUGGGGGCUGAGAGUACCGGAAGAAUAAGCACCGGCUAACUACGUGCCAGCAGCCGCAGUAAAAC